rnacentral:rRNA from 1 species
AGAUUGAACGCUGGCGGCAGGCCUAACACAUGCAAGUCGAGCGGUAGAGAGGUGCUUGCACCUCUUGAGAGCGGCGGACGGGUGAGUAAUGCCUAGGAAUCUGCCUAGUGGUGGGGGAUAACGUUCGGAAACGGACGCUAAUACCGCAUACGUCCUACGGGAGAAAGCGGGGGACCUUCGGGCCUCGCGCCAUUAGAUGAGCCUAGGUCGGAUUAGCUAGUUGGUGAGGUAAUGGCUCACCAAGGCGACGAUCCGUAACUGGUCUGAGAGGAUGAUCAGUCACACUGGAACUGAGACACGGUCCAGACUCCUACGGGAGCAGCAGGUGGGAAUAGUUGGACAAGUGGGCGCAAGCCUGAUCCAGCCAUACCGCGUGGGUGAAG